rnacentral:lncRNA from 1 species
AGGUGGCUCCUUCCCCGCGAGCUCAGAGGGUCGAGCCUGGGCAGUCAAGAGCCGUUGCGCAGGGGAAACCGGGUGAGCGAGCGCGGGCUGCCGAGCUUUGCGGCCGGGAAGGAGGGCGACGCGUGAAGCUCCUGUCCCGCGGCCAAACCCGAGCUUGGCUGCCCUAAGCGAGACCGAAGUGCCUCGCGCUCCGGCUUGCGUGGAGGAGCCCAGGAGAAGGAAAUCCCGCGAAGGGAAAAGCCUGGGCUUUGUCCCGAUGAACUGCUGUUGGGGCUCAGCUCCUGCUGGUGGAGCUUCUAAGGAAGGACCGGGUGCAUCCCAAGCCGGUUAGCUGCCUGGGGCGGGGCGGGGGCAAAUCUUCUCGCUUAGUAAAUCAGACAUCCCCGAAUUCCCGUGUCCAAAAAGAUACCACGCACAGGGGCCUCUUUAGCUACCUCCGGUCGCGCUGGGCUGCCAAACUUCCCACCAGCCUAAAAUACUUAGUCGAAAAUACUGCGCCAGACAAAACACGCAGCCAUCCAGCUGGGCUCGAGAAAGCCUUCAGCCGCCCUCCUCUUCCCUCCUCCGAGUGAACUAAGCGUAUCUGUUGCUCACCUCCCGGGGCAAACUCGUGCGAGUUGUUAAAAUACCCAGCGCCUUCUUCCUUGCUGGAGGCAAAACUACAGUGUUUUGGCAGCGAGGAUCGUCAGAGUUACUUUCUCUUCCCACCACCCGGUGUUUUUUUCCUUGCCUUCCUUUAUUCCUCCGAUGUUUAAAGCCGACUUGGAGCGACACACCCACACCCCUGGUUGUUCAAGGGUGUCGAAUCCUGUCAACCUGUCUAAAGAACAUCUAUUACCAGCUCUUCCUGCUGUUCGUCUAUUACUUGCAUAAUAAAUCCAGCUGCCUUUUAUUGUGCACCCAAUUAUGUGCUCAUUACAAUUCCUUGGGGAGGAAUUCCGGUGUUAUCUCUGUUCUUUGGGCAGACCUGUGUGGCGAAAUCCCGUCGUUUCCUAACAAGUCCUAGCUUCCCACAAGCACCUCGCUCACUCUUAUGGAGCGUUUGUCGGACUCGUUGGAUACAGAGGGUGAAGUCUUGGCUCCAUCGCCAAUUUCUCGUACUGUAUGAGUAUAUGUGAUUGUAGAGAAGUACUUUUGUAUAUUGGGUUGUGUUUGGCGGUGGCUAGCCAGCCUAGUUUCGCCCAGACUGCGUGUUAUGAAGUGUUAAAACUGAAUACGCGCACUGCGCACACCACGAUCCGUUUGUUUGGGAUCCCAUUCAAAGGCCGCAAGCGACUCGCCAAGAAAAAGGAUGAAGAGGCAUCACACGCACGCAAAUUCCCAGAGCCCACGUAGAAAGUCCAUUCGCUCUCCAGACUCUUCCGAGAAAGCUGGACACAACCACCUCACCUCCGCUCCCAGAGAGAUUACUUCUCUGGCGCUGUUGGCCGGGAAAUAAGUUUUAUUGCAACAUCUGAAAGUGACGGCUCCUAGCACCGAUUCAUCUGCUAGAAGCCGCCCUGCCUAGAUCCCUCGCUACAGCCCAGGGCCUAGAAGUGACCCACUCCCAGUGCUGAUCCCUUGCUUUCUCAGUUCUGUCACCCGCAGCACACCUGCCAAGGGCUGCAAGACAACCGGCACUCCCUGAAAUUCCCUCUUCCACGCAACUUUUAAAGGCGCGAGAGCCCUGGCCUCUUUUCCACCUAUGCAGCAGAAAUGCGGAGGGAUGGCAGCUCAGAAGCGGAACUGAGAGUCCCAGGGGAGGAAAGGUCCGCAGUGUCGUAGUAAGGUUCAAACCCGGCACGAGAUUUAAAACGGAGUUUUCCAAGGGCUGGCAAGGGCUGCCUUGUUGGAGCCCAAACCUACAUUGGGAUCCUCGAGCUCCGGCCUAGAAGGAAAACCUGGUCCUUCAUUUUAAGUGGUUGGGGGACAGUGGCGAGGAGAAGGCACUCUGUACAUGCUCAGAGGUGCUUUUCUUUAUAGGUUGUCACGUCUGUUUCAUUCGAAGGGGGCGGGUGAUAUGGCCACAGGUGGGAGAGGAUUCUAAAUGGGCGUGGCGAAAGGAUGAAGGUGGAGCCACGAGGCCCAUAGCGUCUGCAAAAAAUAAAAAUAGAAAUCCUCUUCUGACACAACGGCUGAUCGCUCUCACAAGCGCACAUACACUGAUGCACUGAGAUUUAUAUUUGUUUUGUUCGUGUACAUACACAGAGCACGAAGCUGACUAGGCACUGUCUGAAGGCAGAAAAGCCUGUAGGCAGGAAUGCACAUGUACCAAGAAAAAAAGAGAAUGCUUUCCUCUUGAGAUGCAGCUACCUUAGUCUGCAGAAGUGGUGCACGCGCACCUGCCCUUUUACAGUCCUAGCCAGUCUAUCGUCCUCCGGCCCUUGUCCUUUCUCUUCAAGCCAGCCUGUCGGUCAGCUAACCAACUGAAAUUGCCUGGGAGCAGAGUUAUCUUCCACAUUUUUUUUAGUGAGGGUCUGUCCACCACCUCUGGAAUAUUGGAUUAGGACACCCUGGUUCCUGUGCUCUAGCUACGCACCCGUAUCCUGCACGGAGGAUCCUGUAAAACGGGAGAUGCGCCUACUCACUCCAGAAAGACACACACAAAAAAUCAUAAACACAGAGUAAGCUGAGAUCCGCCAGCUGAUGGAAGCUUUGCUUCCGGGUGAAAAGGGCUAAGGAUAGCGAUGGACGGGUGUUUUUAACUGGCAGAAAGCAAACUACAAGAUCAGACUUCUGGAAGAAGAAAAAGCCAGAAAGGUAGCCUUGUUCGUCUGCUAAUUAAAAACAAAAACCCACGCCUCCCCGGCUGCCACCACCAAACUUUAAAUUAGAGGCAUUGUGACACAAACGUUGGUGUACUGGAAUCCACUGCUGCACCUGAGGCAUGAAGGGUUAUGCACAGUUGGCGGAGCAGGGCAUGUUUUCUACAGGGGACCGGGGGAGCGGUAUAAACAGUGAAGCCGAAGGUACAGUCAGUGUCUGCGACAUAUCUAUGCAAAAGCUCAAAUGUAUACAAGAUCAGCCGCUGACCGAGCGUUCAGUGCAAGCUGCAGUAACUGGCAAUAAUACAGUCUUGCAAGAUUCGCCAUGUAUUACUUUGGUGCUUGUAACAUAUGUAUAAGCGUGGGGGGGGGGCGUGUUGGGAGACCCUUAGAUCUCCGCUGGGAUUACACUCUCGAGUAAACUCCGGAGAGAAGUUAAAAGGUUCCCAUCGAUUUGAGGCGCUGGAUGCUGUGGCUGACAAGCGGAACGCGCUCGGCAAACUAUUUGUAGGAGCUGACUCAGUUAGUAUGUGGGUUCUAGGAGGUGGCAAGGGCAGCUGGGGAUUCCUGAAUCGCAGGGCGGAUUGCCUUGUAGUUAAACACCGCAGGAAAACGAGCUCCAGCCGGCUGCCAAUGACUAGCGCGUCCCUUAGCACCCUGCUACAUUACUCCAAAUCACCCCAAGCAGCACAUUUUCUUGUAGCUUCUUUAAUUCUAAAUAGGCCCGAGUUCCUACUUUCAUACAAACUUCCUUCUGCCACAGCGAUCUAUGAAUUAAUUCGUUGAUUACAGAUGAAGAAUAUGGGGCCAAGCGCCUCUCUUUUCAGUCUGGCCUUUGGCCGGUUCCUAUCCAGGGUGACUUCUGCAAUAAUAGCUGCUGUUUGUAAUUAAACUGUGAGUUGAAUGA